AGAUCGUGCCGCUGCACUCCAGCCUGGGUGACAGAGUGAGACUCUGUCUCAAUAAAACAAGAAGCAUGAAUCUUUAGGUUAAUUUACUUUGAGUGCCUUUAAGAAAAAUGUUGACAUGUCUUAGAAGAACAGCAUUACUGUGUCUUCAUUUGAUUUAUUAAUAAGUGUGACCUACUGGGAAUGAUAUAGUUGUAUAUAAAGUGUGUGUAAUAGAUGGCUAAGUGGAUAGCAUCCCAGGAGUCACACUCAUCCAGCAUCAUUCAGUUUAAAAAAUUCACCCACAUAGCUUAGAAUUUUAAAAGAUCUGGUUUAGAGUUGUCUUCAGAAAGUGGGAAUGUGGGAAGAUGUCCAGUGACCUUUGUUAGCCAGCUUUAUUCCCGGCCUCCCUUUAUCUCUCAGAGGUGGCAUCCACAGAUGUCGAAGGACUUGUCAAGUUUGAGGAACUAUCCCCUGGUGUGAUGGUUAGUUUUAUGUGUCAACUUGGCUGGAUCAUGGGGCCCGGACAUUUGAUCACACAUUAUUCUGGAUGUUUCUGCAAGGGUGUUUUUUGGAUAAGAUUAACAUUUAAAUAGUUGGAUUCUGAGGGAAGCACAAUGCCCUUCCUAUUGUGAGUGGGCCUCGUCCAAUAAGUUGAAGUCCUUGAUAGAACAAAGACUGACUUCCCCAAGAGGGAAUUCUGUCAGCAGAUGGCCUUCGGACUAGAAUUGCGACAUCAGCUCUUCCAUGGGUCUUUAGCCUGUCAGGCCACCAGGCCACACUACAGAUUUUGGACUUGCCAGCCUCCAGCCUGCAUGAUUCCGUGAGCCAAGCCAAUUCCUUAAAAAUAAAUUCUCUCUCUCUCUCUCUCUCUCUCUCUACCUCUCGCUCUUUCUCCAUAUACACAUCCAUGGGUCUGUUUCUUUGGAGAAGCCAAUAACAUAUUUAAGUUAGCAUGGUAGAUAUCUAUUUAUAGCAUACUACUUAUUUAUUCCUAAGACAGUUGCCUUAUGUGGGCCUCAUGGUUCAACAUUCCCUUCACAUAAACCUCCACUACACUUAGACAACUGCCCAACUUUCCUCUUCUUACGAGCUUUCAACACAGUAUGUGACGAAAUACUUCCUGAGCUUAGUUUCAUAGACAUGAUCCACAUUUUAUAAAUUCAGGAUCAGAGCUUCAGAUUCUGGAGACCUGGAAGAUAUUCAAAUUAUAAGUGAGAAGAACCAAAGAUUUGACUGACAUUAGAUUGAGAAGAAAUCUUAAAUGUUUACAGCAGCCCCACAAAGUAACUCGCUCAUCUUUGUUUGUAUACUGCCAGGGAUGCGGGAAUCACUACUUGCUAAACAUGCUGGUCCUAUCUUUGGAUAGCUUUGUUUUCCAAAAGCUUUUCCUAAUAAUAUGAAGUUGCAAUGUAAUUUCCAUCUAUUAGAUGUGAUACUUGAAGCCGUGCUGGCCAGCUUGUGACCCUGAGGUGAAAGCUGGGAGAACCAGGGACAAACAGACAGAGCCAGCAUAUUGUUUUGCUGCAAACCUAACCAACUCUGAAACUUCCUGCUUCCAGACUUUUUAUUAUGUGACUUAAUUAAAUAUGGCUGUGGUUUAAGA